ACUACGGGAGGCAGCAGUGAGGAAUAUUGGUCAAUGGGCGGAAGCCUGAACCAGCCAAGUAGCGUGCAGGAUGACGGCCCUACGGGUUGUAAACUGCUUUUAUACGGGAAUAACGCGCCUUACGUGUAGGGCUUUGCAUGUACCGUAUGAAUAAGGACCGGCUAAUUCCGUGCCAGCAGCCGCGGUAAUACGGAAGGUCCGGGCGUUGUACGGAUUUAUUGGGGUUAAAGGGAGCGUAGGCCGCAUGUCAAGCGUGCUGUGAAAUGUCCGGGCUCAACCCGGGCCGUGCAGCGCGAACUGGCGUGCUUGAGUCCGCGGAAAGCAGGCGGAAUUCGUCGUGUAGCGGUGAAAUGCUUAGAUAUGACGAAGAACCCCGAUUGCGAAGGCAGCUUGCUGCAGCGGAACUGACGCUGAUGCUCGAAAGCGCGGGUAUCGAACAGGAUUAGAUACCCUAGUAGUC
rnacentral:rRNA from 1 species